UACGUAGGGUGCAAGCGUUGUCCGGAAUUAUUGGGCGUAAAGAGCUCGUAGGCGGCUUGUCGCGUCGAAUGUGAAAACCCACGGCUCAACUGUGGGCUUGCAGUCGAUACGGGCAGGCUAGAGUUCGGCAGGGGAGACUGGAAUUCCUGGUGUAGCGGUGAAAUGCGCAGAUAUCAGGAGGAACACCGGUGGCGAAGGCGGGUCUCUGGGCCGAUACUGAUGCUGAGGAGCGAAAGCGUGGGGAGCGAACAGG
rnacentral:rRNA from 1 species